GCCGUCGUGGCUCAAUGGUAGAGCGUCGCUUUCCUAUUCACAUGAUCCUGGUCAUGUAAUCGCCGCAGGCGAAGGUUGUGGGUUCGAUCCCCAUCGUCGGUA